CAGCCGCCGCGGUAAUACAGAGGGUGCGAGCGUUAAUCGGAUUUACUGGGCGUAAAGCGUGCGUAGGCGGCUUUUUAAGUCGGAUGUGAAAUCCCCGAGCUUAACUUGGGAAUUGCAUUCGAUACUGGGAAGCUAGAGUAUGGGAGAGGAUGGUAGAAUUCCAGGUGUAGCGGUGAAAUGCGUAGAGAUCUGGAGGAAUACCGAUGGCGAAGGCAGCCAUCUGGCCUAAUACUGACGCUGAGGUACGAAAGCAUGGGGAGCAAACAGGAUUAGAUACCCUGGUAGUCCAUGCCGUAAACGAUGUCUACUAGCCGUUGGGGCCUUUGAGGCUUUAGUGGCGCAGCUAACGCGAUAAGUAGACCGCCUGGGGAGUACGGUCGCAAGACUAAAACUCAAAUGAAUUGACGGGGGCCCGCACAAGCGGUGGAGCAUGUGGUUUAAUUCGAUGCAACGCGAAGAACCUUACCUGGUCUUGACAUAGUAAGAACUUUCCAGAGAUGGAUUGGUGCCUUCGGGAACUCUGAGACAGGUGCUGCAUGGCUGUCGUCAGCUCGUGUUGUGAAAUGUUGGGUUAAGUCCCGCAACGAGCGCAACCCUUAUCCUUUGUUGCCAGCGAGUAAUGUCGGGAACUCAAAGGAGACUGCCGGUGAUAAACCGGAGGAAGGUGGGGAUGACGUCAAGUCAUCAUGGCCCUUACGAGUAGGGCUACACACGUGCUACAAUGGCAUAUACAAAGAGAAGCGAACUCGCGAGAGCAAGCGGACCUCAUAAAGUAUGUCGUAGUCCGGGGUGGAGUCUGCAACUCGACUCCAUGAAGUCGGAAUCGCUAGUAAUCGUAGAUCAGAAUGCUACGGGAAUGCGUUCCCGGGCCUGCACACACCGCCCGU
rnacentral:rRNA from 1 species